GUCCCCUUCGUCUAGCGGUCCAGGACGCCGGCCUCUCACGCCGGAAACAGGGGUUCGAUUCCCCUAGGGGACGCCA
rnacentral:tRNA from 3 species